rnacentral:lncRNA from 1 species
AUGCCAGACAUUGUUCUAAGUGUGGUUCUAAGCCCUGGGCCCCACCCACAGGUCCUGCCCUCGAGUCUGUCUGUGUGUUCUGUCCACUGGUUCUGUCUGCAACUUUCAUCUGUGGGCUCUGUCCACAGGUUCUGCCCGAAGGCUCCAUAUGCAGGCUCCAUCCCUGGGUCCCGUCCCCAGGUUUUACUCUCGAGUCUGUUUGUGGGUUCUAUUCAUUGGUUCUCUCUGCAGGUUUCAUCCAUGAGCCUUGUCCGUGGGCUCCAUCCAAGGACUCCAUCUGAAUUUCCCCAUGUUCCAUCCCUACCCUCCAGACAGAAAGACACACUCAGUAGCCCUGGGCCAUGGGAUCUGGGCAGCAGGAAGGAAGCAAGGCUGGAGCCCCAGGUGCCGGGGAAGCUGUCUGCGGGAGCGAGCCUAACGCCGACGCCGGGGAGGCUGAGCCUUGGAGGCCGAGCCCCUGGAGGCGGAGCCCGUGGAGGCCGAGCCCGUGGAGGCCGAGCCCGUGGAGGCCGAGCCCGUGGAGGCCGAGCCCGUGAAGGCCGGGCGGGCUGAGCCCGGGGAGGUCGAGCCCGUGGUCGCUGAGCCCGGGGAGGCCGGGCGGGUUGAGCCCGUGGAAGCUGAGCCCGUGGAAGCUGAGCCCGUGGAAGCUGAGCCCGUGGAGGCCGGGCGGGCUGAGCCCGGGGAGGUCGAGCCCUUGGAGGCCGGGCAGGCUUAGCUGGUGGAAGCUUAGCCCGCGGAGGCCGAGCUCGGUCCGUCGGCGGUGAAGCCCGGGGUCCUCGCAGUUGUGGCGCAGCCUCGCCCCGGGCCCCGCCCCCGCCCCCAGACUGCGGCCGAGUUUCCCCAGCCGAGACGGCUCGGAGCUGCCCCUCGCCCCCUCCCCCUGCCCCACCGCACCUCCCCCACCCCCUUACCCCCCCCCCCACCCCCUUUCUCCCCCCGCC